rnacentral:rRNA from 1 species
UACGUAGGGUGCGAGCGUAAUCGGAAUUACUGGGCGUAAAGGGUGCGCAGGCGGUUAUAUAAGACAGAUGUGAAAUCCCCGGGCUCAACCUGGGAACUGCGUUUGUGACUGUAUGACUAGAGUACGGUAGAGAGGGGUGGAAUUCCUGGUGUAGCAGUGAAAUGCGUAGAUAUCAGGAGGAACAUCGAUGGCGAAGGCAGCCCCUUGGACCUGUACUGACGCUCAUGCACGAAAGCGUGGGGAGCAAACAGG